GGAAGAACAGAAGGGGAGGACAGAGGACACAGUAAGUUUCAAGGGAGAUGACAGCACUUCUUGUGCAACUUUACACCACAAGAUGUCACUGUGAAUUACUGAUGAGUUAUCAUAGUACUGCAGUGGAUCUUAUGUAUGAUCUAUUAGUCUAUUAAAUGAUGUAUUUAAAGUCUCUUAGACGUUUCGUGAGUCUCCCACAUAUAUUGACAGAAGUUUCCUGAUGCGCAGAAAUUAAAUCAAAUGUCCUGAGGGUUCGUGUGAAGCGGGGAAAAUAUGACACCAUGCGCCUAAUUGUGGUACUGAACGAGUGUUACUAUUCAUGAGCUACAAUUUUCAAAACAUACGUUGUGAUUGGUUGAUUUUGUCGAGCAGACCAAUCAGUUUUCAGAGUAGGCGGGCCUUGACCUGUUUUCCAUUGCACCGGAAAUAAAUUAAUUAUCUUGUUAAAACGUCAGUUUUAACCACCGUAUUAGCAAUUAUUCUAAAAAAGUACAACACCUUGACUCCUUAAUACAUGUCUGAAGUAAUUUAUUAGUUCGUCUUCACACGUGCUUCUCUCCGACCUAUCGUACGACGACGUUAUACUUGAGGAAAACGCUCAUGUCGACAAGCGACGUAAAUAAUGACAAAAGACACGCGGUUUCCAGUUAUUUCCUGCUGGUCACCUGCAGGACAGUAUCCCUGCCAGGGCUGUGUGGGUGCAGGAGUGGUGUGAAUGUCUCCGGGGAACUUCUUGCAAAGAUUCUUACAUAAAUACAGAUAACUUUCCAACCAGCUCUGCUCAACCAUGGAGAGGAUGGACACCAGAUCAGCUCCCAACUUCCUGCAGCUUUCCCGUGCGUCGUGCCAGGUUUUUUUGUCACUGAAAGCCUUGUAGCAGAAAUCACCAAACUCAUGCCAGUCUGGUCCCGAGCACCUGAGCUCUGCCGAUAGGGAGUAAUUAAUCCAGAUUGAAGAUGAGAAAAUUGGACGAUUGAUGUUUGAGGACUGCAAACAAGUCAACUCACCGCCAUCUGCAAAAGUGAAGGAAACCUCGAAGUUCCCGUCAAACCUAAAGAAAAACGCAACACCUCAAAACAUCAGGGGUGCACCCCAAAGCAUCAAAACGCAGUCCUGUCUGUCCGCUGUAUUCCAGUGGAAGGAUACGGACGUACUUUGCGGACACAGGUGUUCCCAUCAGCUGAGUGUCCACGGUGUUCCGAUCAGUUGAGCCUGGGAAAAACUGCAAACAAAGAGGGUACCUUUUUGUUUUGUAACCACAAUACCUUGAUGUUUUUAAGGUGUUAGUCUCUGUCUCUUCACCUCUCCGUCAGCAGUGUAAUCUGUCCAGGUGUUUCCAUCCAUACUGUGUUUGAUCCUGAACUUAGUGACCCAGUGGUCGUUUUGAGGACAACCUUGGAUGGCGAUCCCUGUUACUUUUCUGAUGGGACCCAGGUUCACCUGGAUCCAGCUUGAGCUUGCUGGAGACAGAAGCAGAUUAAAUAUUGUGUAUAUUAUAAAGUAUAUUUCUGCUUAAACUUUUUAAUUGUCCUUUAAUUUUUUGUUUAUACAUGCACUGGGUAGCUGUGGAUUAAUCAGGAUAGAUUAACAUGCCUAAAUAAUACUUUUUUUCUGUAUAUUGCUGGAAAAGAAAGACAAUUCCCAGCAGAUAAAUGGUUCUGUUUCACAGCUUUAUUAACUAAAUUGUGGAAUGAUUAAUAUGGGAAAAGUCUUUAAGUUCAUGAGUUAGAAUAAAAAAAAAAUCGAUUAAUUUCACUAAUUGAUUUUUGCCAUUUGUAUGACGGCUCCAGUAAAGUUUCAUUCAUUUAUCUCAUCUCAUUCUCACUGUUUUAAUACAAAUAUAAACUUAGUUUUCCUUACGGCUUCCUGAAGGCAUCCAACAGGAAUUUCCAUUCAGUCUGGCUUUAUCAGGAGUGAAACCACCAGUGGAGGAAGAAGCAGUGAGCUGAGAGUCAGUGACCAGUCCAUCCUCAACACCCAGGCCGUGCAGACACACUGAGGGCAGAGAAACCACAACACCAGGAGACGGUCAGAUGAUGAUGAUGGUGAUGAAGAAGUUCAGGAUGUCUGGUGAAGUAGAAUAACCUUCUUGUUCACAGCUGUAGACAAUCUCCAGAUAUUUGGAGACAGUUGGACAGGGGUCCUGGUCCACAUGAGCGUAUGCGAAACAAAAGCGACGAUUGUCACAGAUCUUUCGAAUCAAAGGGAGGACGCCAUCUACUGUGCAGGUUCCUGCAGAACAUGGGAUGAGCAUGAAGCAGUGAUAAGAAGGCAGACUGGAUGUUUAUGGCACUUUCCUCUGGACAGUGAAGGACAGCAGAUGAGCCCUCACACACCAGUGCUGUCAUGAAACCUGCAUGGAAAAGUUCACCUCUGGAUAUAUGAAGUCAGCACAGACAUGUAUGGUCCUACUGGAGAUGUAUCCUCGCUUGUAUUCACAGACGUCAUCAUUCCAAUAACCAUCAUUAAUGUACAUGGAGAGGCAGUCUUCACCAAAAUAGUCAUCUGGAUUACCUGUGAAGAAAGUCAAG